AGAAAGUCAUUCUUCCAAGUUUGAAGAAAGGGUGCCCUUCCUUGCCUCUUAGAAGUUUUGUCCCUGCAUCCCUCUCCAGUUCCACGUGAUCAUUCCUAACUCUGAGGCAGUUUUGGAAAAGAAGUCAUCUCACAUGCCACCUUGGAGGGCAGAGAACCACAGAUAAUCAGGAAGUCAUUCUUCCAAGUUUCAAGAAAGGGUGUCCUUGCUUGCCUCUUAGACAUUUCAUCCCUGCAUCCCUCCCCAGUUCCA